AGUACACGUUUCUGGAACCAAG
rnacentral:miRNA from 1 species